GUCACCCAUCACAGCCCAAGUGACUGGAGCGCACGCGUCCUCCACCUCUGCCAUCUUCCUCCUUAGACGGCAGCCCAAGGAAUUAUCUUGGAUGUGGACAAAGAUUUAUAAACAUUACUGGUCCUCAAAGGCUGCGCAUUACGGCUCUCACUAUGCAGCGCUGGUUGACUUGGAACUCACUCUGUAAGACCAGGCUGGCCUGGAACCCAGCGAUCUGCCUGCCUCUGCCUCCUGAGUGCUGGGAUGAAAGGCGUGCACCACCACUGACCUGCCUCCCAGACUGUCUUGCUCGAGCUAGGGUCCUCCAUCUUGUAUCUGGAAAGCCUGAGUGAGCAGGUGCAAGGGAUUUGCCCCUUUCUGCUCUUGGUCACCAUGUUUGUGCCUCGUUCUAGAGGAGGCCAGAAGAGAGCCUCAGAAGCAUGCGACUGGACUUACAGCUGUGAACCACUGUAGUUCCCAGCCACCGUGUGAGUGCUCGGAAUCGAACCUGGGUCUUCUGGAAUAACUGCCAGUGCUCUCCAACGCUGAAUCACUCCUGGCUCUAGAAAUGGCAAUUUUAGUGGCUCAGAGGAGACUACUCAAUGGUGUGGUAUUCAAGAAAUUCCUCCCCAAAGGGGGAGAGAAAGGCCCACGUUUGAGAGGCGAGUGGGUGAGCUAGAAGUGUGCAUUUGGAGGAUGGUGGCUUGAGAGCGGGUUGGGGGUUACAUGGAGAGGAAAUGACCUCGAGAAAGGACUGACUUUCUUGUCAUCCACGUGUGCCUGCCCAGGUGGCAGGUGGCACCAUCUAACCUGAGUCUUUCUGGAUCUCAGCUACCUGCUCACUCUCCAGUGUUCCUCCCCGCCCCCCCCCCCCAUGAAUCCCUAUCAGUCAUUCACACUCUAAACACAGGACCAACCCUAUCUCUUGACUUGUCUUUGCUGAGGUAGAAAGGGGAUAAUCUCAGAUGGGGACCUUGAGAUUUCUCUCCUUCAGUGACACAUGUGGACUUGCCACUCUGCUUGCCUAAGCAACUUUUUCCUUGACCUGGAGUGUGGACUUGGGGUGGCAGCUGGGGUCUGAUGUAUCUGUGUUGGGGUUCCAGGAGGGCACACAGCACAUAGCUUCUCUCUAUAGGAAGGCUGUGCGCCUCAGUCACCUAGUGGCUAAAGGGAGAGGCUUCAGGAUGUGUCAGGUGGAGGGUGGGUGGGGGCCACAACCAGGACUCAGGUUACAACUGUUCCACCAAAGUUCAAGUUAGGCAGCAGGAGAAAACCGGGGUGUCUUCUAGAGUCCUCACAGUCUGGAAUUCAAUUCCAGACCAAACUGAGCCACCGUUUGUUGUUGUUGGUGGUGUUUUUAGACAGGGUUUCUCUGUCCUAGCUCCAUAGACCAGGCUGGCCUUGAACUCAGAUAUCCCUCUGCCUCUGCCUCUGCCUCUGCCUCCGCCUCCUCUGGGAGUUCAAAGCUUCAGGUUUUGUGAGAUGGGGAGAGAUAGAGGCAGACACCCGAUGUCCUCCUCUGAUCCCCCGACACACACAUAUGCUUAAGCUCUGUGUGCAUGCUCACAUGGAAGGCUGCGCAGCUAGACGGCAUCAAAACGAACACAUCCACACAAUGAUCCCGGGAGAGCCCUCCAGAGAAAGGGCUGGAGACCUAGCAUGGGCUCCUUUCCAUCUUUGCCCUAAGUUUUCUUCCUCCCCAUUCCUCCCCACUCCCCGCCCUGCCUUCUCCUCCUCCACUCACAGGACCCAGUCUGGAUUAAGCUCAUCUUCAUCAAUCCCCUCAUCCUAUUAGGGCUCAGACAGGGACUCUGGACAUGAACCUCGGUGUGUCCUUGUUCUUUGUGUCACACUCUGGCUUAUGGCGGGGCAACUGUGCACGCUGGUGAAGAAAGACAAACCUAUACCCCAGAGGACUUUGAGGAACGAAUUUGGUCCAUGUACCUCACAUCAGACCCAGCCCAUGGACUAACAGCUGGGUGCCCUGGGCAGGCAAGCACCUGAGGAAGCUGGGGGUUCUCUCUUCUCAGGCCACCCUGAGGGCUAAGUGCACCAACCCACACCUACACACUUAACAUCCUGCCCAGCCCACAGUAGAUGAUAAGAAACUUUACUGCCAGCCUCCUUUCACUAAUGAAUCUCUCUAUUUAAAGUGAGGUCUGAGGCUCUAGAUCAGGAGAGCUGCGGGGAGGGAGAGAAGGCUGCAUUUCCCGAUGGGGGGAAAGGUGGGCGGCGUCAAUCUAAUUUCUCAGCUAACGCUACAAUUUGCCAGCCCUUGUAAUUAUUAUUUUUAUUAUGGAUACAAAUUAAAAAUAAACUGAGUGUCGCAAUCACA